GAAAGCCUGACGGAGCAAGACCGCGUGAGGGAAGAAGGCUCUUGGGUUGUUAACCUCUUUUCUUAAGGGAGAAGCUCUGACGGUACUUAAGGAAUCAGCAUCGGCUAACUCCGUGCCAGCAGCCGCGGUAAUACGGAGGAUGCAAGCGUUAUCCGGAAUUAUUGGGCGUAAAGCGUCCGCAGGCGGCAUUAUAAGUCUGCUGUCAAAGACCGCAGCUCAACUGCGGAGAGGCAGUGGAAACUGUAAAGCUAGAGUACGGUAGGGGUAGAGGGAAUUCCCAGUGUAACGGUGAAAUGCGUAGAGAUUGGGAAGAACACCAGUGGCGAAAGCGCUCUACUGGGCCGUAACUGACGCUCAGGGACGAAAGCUAGGGGAGCG
rnacentral:rRNA from 1 species